rnacentral:rRNA from 1 species
AUGGCGAUGGUGCUGGAUGCAUUUGCGUCCUACCUGGUGGACAUGCUAACGCAGGCAGCAGCAGAUGAGGUGAAGACGAUGUUGGGUGUCUCCGGCGAGAUCGACAAGAUGGGAGACAAGCUUCGGGACCUCAAGAACUUCCUCGUCGAUGCCGAUAGGAGGAACAUCACCGAGGAGACUGUUCAAGAGUGGGUGGGGCAGCUCAAGCGUGCCAUGUACGAAGCUACCGGCAUCCUUGACCUCUGCCAGCUCAAGGCCAUGGAGCAUGGACCAUCCUCGGUAAACGCGGGAUGUUUCAAUCCCUUGCUCUUCUGCAUGAGGAACCCCUUUCAUGCCCGUGAGAUCGGCACCCGCAUCAAGGCACUCAAUCAGAGGCUUGAUGACAUCAAGGAACGCAGCGCUGCUUUCAACUUCAUCAAUCUUUGGUCAUAUGGGAAUCAUAGCAGCAACACCCAUGCCUCUCACCAUGGUAAUCCAAGCCGGGAGACGGUAGGGGACUUUGACCGGUCUGCUGUGGUUGGGGACAAGAUUGAAGAAGACACAAGAGCACUGGUGGCCCAGAUCAUGCAGACGGGAAAGGAUGUCAACAAUGACAUCAUGGUGGUAGCUAUCGUAGGUGUUGGCGGGAUCGGCAAGACCACCCUCGCCCAGAAGGUCUUCAAUGAUGAUGCCAUCCAAGGAGGGUUCAGCAAAAAGAUAUGGUUGAGCGUCAACCAAAAUUCCAGUGAGGUUGAGCUGCUGAGAAGGGCCAUCAUCGAAGCUGGAGGAGAUGCCCAACCACCUGAAAGUGCAAAGACCAGCCUUCAUGAAACCCUCAAGAAUACAUUGAUCGACCACAAGACCUUUCUCGUAAUGGAUGAUGUGUGGAACCAUGGAGCAUGGGAUGAUGUGCUGAAAAUACCCUUAGUCAAUGCUGCUGCUUCAGGCAGCCGAGUCCUCGUCACUACCAGAGAUGAAGGUGUUGCCCGAGGGGUGAAAGCUAUAUGGCCAUACCAUCAUAUCGACACAUUAGUGCCUGAAGAUGCUUGGUCAUUGCUCAAGAAGCAGGUAUGCUCAAGUGAGAUAGAUGAAGACCAGAUCAAUAUGCUAAAGGAUAUCGGACUGAAAAUUAUUCAGAAAUGUGGUUGUUUACCAAUUGCUGUUAAAGUGAUGGGAGGACUCUUGCGUGAAAGAGGAGGGCUACGUCGUUACUGGCAGCAGAUUUUCGAUGAUUCUAAAUGGUCAACAACUAAAAUGCCCGAUGAUCUCAACCACACAGUAUACUUAAGCUAUGAAUAUAUGCCAUCUUACUUGAAGCAGUGCUUUUUAUACUACUCUUUUCUUCCUAAGAGUAGACGUUUUCAUAUGGAUAAAGUCGUGGCAAUGUGGAUAAGCGAAGGAUUUAUUCAUGGAAACUAUAGUGAUUUAGAAGAACUGGGAAGAAAUUACUACAUGGAGUUGGUAUCUAGGAACCUUAUAGAGCCAAAUAAAUUGUAUGCUGAUAUAUGCUUUUGCAGCAUGCAUGAUGUUGUUCGCUCAUUUGCUCAGUAUAUGACUAAAGAUGAAGCACUCGUAACUCAAGACGGAGACAAUGAUAUUUUUGGUAAACUUGGUUCACAAAAGUUUCUUCGGUUGUCCAUAGAAACUAAUCAAUCACAAUCAGGUGAACUUGAUUGGAAAUCUCUACACGCGCAACAAUCAGUGAGAACAUUGAUCUCAACUGUCCAGAUUAAGAUGAUGCCCGGUGAUUCAUUGGUUACCUUUUCUAGUUUGCGGACUCUACAUAUAGAAUCUGCGGAUAUGGCUGUAAUUGUUGAAUCAUUGUAUCAACUCAAGCACCUGAGGUAUCUAACACUAGUAAAUGUUGAUUUAUCUGUACUUCCAUGGAACAUUGGCAAGAUGAAACUGUUGCAAUUCCUUGAUCUUGGUGGAUGUACAAAAUUGGUGAAUCUUCCUGAUAACAUUGUGAAGCUUGGCCAGCUGAGGCUUCUUUCACUUCCAGAAGGAUGUAUGGUACCCAGAGGGUUUGGUGGUCUGACAAAUAUGAGGAGACUUGGUAUGUUUGGAACCCACAUGGAUGGUGAUUGGUGUAGUUUGGAUGAGUUGGGGCAUCUUUCACAGCUUAGUUUUCUUGCAUUAACUGAAUUAGAGAAUGUAUCUGCUGCCUCGUUUGCUUCUAAUGCUAGGCUCGAUGAGAAGAUGCAUCUUAUCAGGCUAUUCCUGGACUGCACCAGUAAACUGGGAGAUGAUGGGUUUGUCAAAGAGAAGGAAUGUGUCUCUGAGGAAGAGCAGCAACGAAUUGAGAAGGUUUUCAAUAAGCUCUGCCCUCCAUCUGGUGUAGAAUAUCUUGAAAUCAAGGGGUAUUUUGGUCGGCAACUGCCGAGCUGGAUGAUAUCCACAUCAAUGGUGCCCCUCGACAACUUGAAAACUAUAUUUUUUCAUGAUCUGGCUUGUUGCACACAACUUCCCAAUGGGUUGUGUCAGCUCCCCAGUCUGCAGGUUCUACAGGUCUGUCGUGCUCCAUGCAUCAAACAUGUAGGGACUGGAUUCUUGCAUGGGGCAGCAGCUUCAUUUCCGAGGUUAAAUGAAAUGAUCUUGGACGGAAUGGUGGAAUGGGAGGAGUGGGAGUGGGAGGAGCAAGUACAAGCCAUGCGCCGUUUGGAGAGGCUUGUGCUCAAACUAUGCAGACUGAGGCAUGUUCCUCCGGGCCUUGCCUCCAAUGCAAGCUCUUUGAAAAUAUUAUGUCUACGAGCUGUCAAGCACCUCAGCUACAUUGAGAGCUUUCCUUCUGUUGUUGAGCUUCUAGUGAAUCAAUGCCCUGACCUGGAGAUUAUCACCAAUCUCCCCAAUCUGCAGAAGCUUACCAUCAAGAACUGCCCAAAGUUGAUGGUGUUGGAGCAUAUCGCUUCACUCGAGAGGAUGGUCCUGGAGGAUUACAACAUGGAAAAACUCCCAGAAUACAUGCGAGACAUAAAGGCAAGGCAUCUGCAGUUAUUCUGCAGGCUAUGGUUGCUCUAUGCGGUUGCCGCAGGACAAUCUGGCACUGAGUGGGACAAGUUCAGCCAAGUGGAUCAUGUCAAGGCAUAUGCACAUGAUGGAGACAACCCAAGAAAAUGGUACGUUUUGUACACGAGAGGAGACAAUUGCAAGUUGGAUUCAAAUAUUAGCCACUCUAAUGUGUUUGAAGAAACCCUGUCAUCUCGUAUGGUGGACGCACAAGGAUUUGAGAAGUACCUUCAGUUACGUCUGCGGCUUGGUGAAGAUCCCAUUUUUCGAAUACAUGAUGUCAAAAGGUCACACCUUUGCUGA